rnacentral:rRNA from 1 species
GACGAACGCUGGCGGCGUGCUUAACACAUGCAAGUCGAACGGAAAGGCCCUGCUUUUGUGGGGUGCUCGAGUGGCGAACGGGUGAGUAACACGUGAGUAACCUGCCCUUGACUUUGGGAUAACUUCAGGAAACUGGGGCUAAUACCGGAUAGGAGCUCCUGCUGCAUGGUGGGGGUUGGAAAGUUUCGGCGGUUGGGGAUGGACUCGCGGCUUAUCAGCUUGUUGGUGGGGUAGUGGCUUACCAAGGCUUUGACGGGUAGCCGGCCUGAGAGGGUGACCGGCCACAUUGGGACUGAGAUACGGCCCAGACUCCUACGGGAGGCAGCAGUGGGGAAUAUUGCACAAUGGGCGGAAGCCUGAUGCAGCAACGCCGCGUGCGGGAUGACGGCCUUCGGGUUGUAAACCGCUUACCCGGGAUGAUAAUGACAGUACCGGGAGAAUAAGCUCCGGCUAACUCCGUG